ACAGAAAAAAUGGCUGAGGCUAACUUAGACGAACAAAAGAUUCUCGUGGGCACGAUUGUUGUCCUCAUUGUUAUUAUUAUCAUCGGGAUCGUCUUCUUCAUUUAUUAUUGUUUAAGAAACAGAAGGAGAGAUCCUGAAAAAGGAACACUCAUCAGUGCAGAAGAAGG